CAACUAGCGUGACACGCUGGGAUGGAGGCGAGUGGCGCCGUGAGGAGGGCGGGCUCCUGCCUCAGGAGCGGGCGGCAGUGAAUGGCUUCACCACGGCGCGUGGACGGGCUCCUGCCCCGGCUGGCUCCCGGCGGCACAGGUUCAGGGCCUUGGACGCUGCAGGAGGUAUUGGAUCCAUAUCGGAGCAAAAGAGGACAUGAAAAAAGCUACUAAAAGCAGAGAGGAGAUCAGUCAAGCCGGUGGCUGAAAUACGCUAUUUUGAUUAAGCAUUCAGCAGGGCAAAUGCCAUAGGAUGACCGCUGCUGGUCCCCUCUUACUGGCUGUGAUAUCGUCUCUCCUGUGGCUCACACGGGGCUUUGACCCAGCUCCCAGC
rnacentral:lncRNA from 1 species